GCCCGUAUAGCUCAGUCGGUAGAGCAGGGGAUUGAAAAUCCCCGUGUCCUUGGUUCGAUUCCGAGUCCGGGCACCA
rnacentral:tRNA from 1 species